GCGGAGGGGUGAGUAACUGGUGGGCAACCUGCCUGUAAGACUGGGAUGACUUCGGGAAACCGAAGCUAAUACCGAAUAAGAUCUUCUCCUUCAUGGGAGAUGAUUGAAAGAUGGUUUCGGCUAUCACUUACAGAUGGGCCCGCGGUGCAUUAUCUAGUUGGUGAGGUAACGGCUCACCAAGGUGACAAUGCAUAGCCGACCUGAGAGGGUGAUCGGGCACACUGGGACUGAGACACGGCCCGGACUCCUACGGGAGGCAGCAGUGGGGAAUCUUCCGCAAUGGACGAAAGUCUGACGGACCAACGCCGCGUGAGUGAUGAAGGCUUUCGGGUCAUAAAACUCUGUUGUUAGGGAAGAACAAGUACAAGAGUAACUGCUUGUACCUUGACGGUACCUAACCAGAAAGCCACGGCUAACUACGUGCCAGCAGCCGCGGUAAUACGUAGGUGGCAAGCGUUAUCCGGAAUUAUUGGGCGUAAAGCGCGCGCAGGCGGUUUCUUAAGUCUGAUGUGAAAGCCCACGGCUCAACCGUGGAGGGUCAUUGGAAACUGGGAAACUUGAGUGCAUAAGA
rnacentral:rRNA from 2 species